rnacentral:rRNA from 1 species
AUUGAACGCUGGCGGCAUGCCUUACACAUGCAAGUCGAACGGCAGCAUGAUCUAGCUUGCUAGAUUGAUGGCGAGUGGCGAACGGGUGAGUAAUACAUCGGAACGUGCCCUGUAGUGGGGGAUAACUAGUCGAAAGAUUAGCUAAUACCGCAUACGACCUGAGGGUGAAAGUGGGGGACCGCAAGGCCUCAUGCUAUAGGAGCGGCCGAUGUCUGAUUAGCUAGUUGGUGAGGUAAAGGCUCACCAAGGCGACGAUCAGUAGCUGGUCUGAGAGGACGAUCAGCCACACUGGGACUGAGACACGGCCCAGACUCCUACGGGAGGCAGCAGUGGGGAAUUUUGGACAAUGGGGGCAACCCUGAUCCAGCAAUGCCGCGUGUGUGAAGAAGGCCUUCGGGUUGUAAAGCACUUUUGUCCGGAAAGAAAUCGCACUUACUAAUAUUAGGUGUGGAUGACGUACCGG